ACACCCCAAAAGGCAUUGGUGCUGAUAGGGAAUGUAGAGAAAGGCUUCACCCCGAGCCUGAAGGUGAUCAUCCUUAUGGACCCCUUUGAUGAUGACCUGAAGCAAAGAGGGGAGAAGAGUGGAAUUGAGAUCUUAUCCCUAUAUGAUGCUGAGAACCUAGGCAAAGAGCACUUCAGAAAACCUGUGCCUCCUAGCCCAGAAGACCUGAGCGUCAUCUGCUUCACCAGUGGGACCACAGCAUGCUUAUGAGCCCACUCCUGAUGAUGUGGCCAUAUCCUACCUCCCUCUGGCUCAUAUGUUUGAGAGGAUUGUACAGGCUGUUGCGUACAGCUGUGGAGCCAGAGUUGGAUUCUUCCAAGGGGAUAUUCGGUUGCUGGCUGACGACAUGAAGACUUUGAAGCCCACAUUGUUUCCCGCGGUGCCUCGACUCCUUAACAGGAUCUACGAUAAGGUACAAAAUGAAGCCAAAACACCCUUGAAGAAGUUCUUGUUGAAGCUGGCUGUUUCCAGUAAAUUCAAAGAGCUUCAAAAGGGUAUCAUCAGGCGUGAUAGUUUCUGGGACAAGCUCAUCUUUGCAAAGAUCCAGGACAGCCUGGGCGGAAGGGUUCGUGUAAUUGUCACUGGAGCUGCCCCCAUCUCCGCUCCAGUCAUGACAUUCUUCCGGGCAGCAAUGGGAUGUCAGGUGUAUGAAGCUUAUGGUCAAACAGAAUGCACAG
rnacentral:sRNA from 1 species